CAGUAGCCGCGGGAAAACGGAGGGGGCUAGCGUUGUUCGGAAUUACUGGGCGUAAAGCGCACGUAGGCGGCUUGGUAAGUUAGAGGUGAAAGCCUGGAGCUCAACUCCAGAAUUGCCUUUAAGACUGCCGAGCUAGCAGGUGAGAGAGGUAAGUGGAAUUCCGAGUGUAGAGGUGAAAUUCGUAGAUAUUCGGAAGAACACCAGUGGCGAAGGCGGCUUACUGGCUCAUACUGGACGCUGAGGUGCGAAAGCGUGGGGAGCAAACAGGAUUAGAUACCCCUGUAGUCCCUGUCUCUUAUAC
rnacentral:rRNA from 1 species